rnacentral:hammerhead_ribozyme from 1 species
AUCCAGCUGAUGAGUCCCAAAUAGGACGAAACGCGUGUCCUGCAU